UACGAAGGGGGCGAGCGUUGUUCGGAUUUACUGGGCGUAAAGGGCGCGCAGGCGGCGCAUUUUGUCAGGCGUGAAAGCCCCGGGCUUAACCUGGGAAUUGCGCUCGAAACUACGUGGCUCGAGUGUGGCAGAGGAAGGUGGAAUUCCACGUGUAGCGGUGAAAUGCGUAGAGAUGUGGAGGAACACCGAUGGCGAAGGCAGCCUUCUGGGCCAACACUGACGCUCAUGCACGAAAGCGUGGGGAGCAAACAGG
rnacentral:rRNA from 1 species